UACGGGGGGGCAAGCGUUGUUCGGAAUUACUGGGCGUAAAGGGCUCGUAGGCGGCCAACUAAGUCAGACGUGAAAUCCCUCGGCUUAACCGGGGGAACUGCGUCUGAUACUGGAUGGCUGGAGUUUGGGAGAGGGAUGCGGAAUUCCAGGUGUAGCGGUGAAAUGCGUAGAUAUCUGGAGGAACACCGGUGGCGAAGGCGGCAUCCUGGACCGACACUGACGCUGAGGAGCGAAAGCCAGGGGAGCAAACGGG
rnacentral:rRNA from 1 species